rnacentral:rRNA from 1 species
GACGAACGCUGGCGGCGUGCUUAACACAUGCAAGUCGAACGGAAAGGCCCUGCACUUGUGGGGUGCUCGAGUGGCGAACGGGUGUGUAACACGUGAGUAACCUGCCCCUGACUUUGGGAUAACUUCAGGAAACUGGGGCUAAUACCCGAUAGGAGCUCCUGCUGCAUGGUGGGGGUUGGAAAGUUUCGGCGGUUGGGGAUGGACUCGCGGCUUAUCAGCUUGUUGGUGGGGUAGUGGCUUACCAAGGCUUUGACGGGUAGCCGGCCUGAGAGGGUGACCGGCCACAUUGGGACUGAGAUACGGCCCAGACUCCUACGGGAGGCAGCAGUGGGAGAUAUUGCACAAUGGGCGGAAGCCUGAUGCAGCAACGCCGCGUGCGGGAUGACGGCCUUCGGGUUGUAAAGCGCUUUCGCCUGUGACGAAGCGUGAGUGACGGUAAUGGGUAAAGAAGCACCGGCUAACUACGUG